rnacentral:tRNA from 1 species
GGUAGAAUGGCUGAGGGUAUAGGCAAUAGAUUGUAAAUCUAUAAACGAGGUUUGUCCUCUUCUACCA